rnacentral:rRNA from 1 species
CCUACGGGUGGCUGCAGUGAGGAAUAUUGGUCAAUGGGCGUAAGCCUGAACCAGCCAAGUCGCGUGCGGGAUGAAGGUUCUAUGGAUCGUAAACCUCUUUUAUAAGGGAGUAAAGUGUGGGACGUGUCCUAUUUUGUAUGUACCUUAUGAAUAAGGAUCGGCUAACUCCGUGCCAGCAGCCGCGGUAAUACGGAGGAUCCGAGCGUUAUCCGGAUUUAUUGGGUUUAAAGGGUGCGUAGGCGGCCUGUUAAGUCAGCGGUGAAAGUCUGUGGCUCAACCAGAGAAUUGCCGUUGAAACUGGGGGGCUUGAGUAUGUUUGAGGCAGGCGGAAUGCGUGGUGUAGCGGUGAAAUGCUUAGAGAUCACGCAGAACACCGAUUGCGAAGGCAGCCUGCCAAGCCAUGACUGACGCUGAUGCACGAAAGCGUGGGGAUCAAACAGGAUUAGAUACCCCGGUAGUC